AGCGAACGCUGGCGGCAGGCCUAACACAUGCAAGUCGAACGAACCCUUCGGGGUUAGUGGCGGACGGGUGAGUAACACGUGGGAACGUGCCUUUAGGUUCGGAAUAACUCAGGGAAACUUGUGCUAAUACCGAAUGUGCCCUUCGGGGGAAAGAUUUAUCGUCUUUAGAGCGGCCCGCGUCUGAUUAGCUAGUUGGUGAGGUAAUAGCUCACCAAGGCUACGAUCAGUAGCUGGUCUGAGAGGAUGACCAGCCACAUUGGGACUGAGACACGGCCCAAACUCCUACGGGAGGCAGCAGUGGGGAAUCUUGCGCAAUGGGCGAAAGCCUGACGCAGCCAUGCCGCGUGGAUGAUGAAGGUCUUAGGAUUGUAAAAUCCUUUCACCGGUGAAGAUAAUGACUGUAGCCGGAGAAGAAGCCCCGGCUAACUUCGUGCCAGCCGCCGCAGUAAGAC
rnacentral:rRNA from 1 species